rnacentral:tRNA from 1 species
GCGGGCGUAGUUCAAUGGCAAAACGGCAGCUUCCCAAGCUGCAUAAGAGUUCGAUUCUCCUCGCCCGCUCCA